rnacentral:tRNA from 1 species
GGGCCGGUAGUCUAGUGGUAUGACGCCGCCCUCACGCGGCGGAGGUCGCGUGUUCAAUUCACGCUCGGCCCACCA